AGUGAACGCUGGCGGCAGGCCUAACACAUGCAAGUCGAGCGGCAGCGCGUCCGACCACCCUCGGGUGGUCGGAUGGCGGCGAGCGGCGGACGGGUGAGGAAUGCAUCGGAAUCUGCCUCGUUGUGGGGGAUAACGUAGGGAAACUUACGCUAAUACCGCAUACGACCUACGGGUGAAAGUGGGGGACCUUCGGGCCUCACGCGAUGAGAUGAGCCGAUGCCGGAUUAGCUAGUUGGCGGGGUAAAGGCCCACCAAGGCGACGAUCCGUAGCUGGUCUGAGAGGAUGAUCAGCCACACUGGAACUGAGACACGGUCCAGACUCCUACGGGAGGCAGCAGUGGGGAAUAUUGGACAAUGGGGGCAACCCUGAUCCAGCCAUGCCGCGUGUGUGAAGAAGGCCUUCGGGUGUAAG
rnacentral:rRNA from 1 species